ACUGUUGCGGAACUCAGAUUUCACGCAGCUUGCAAAAUAGGGAUAAAACGUGUCCAGAGAGAGCUUGCCAGUAGAGCCCCGGGUUUCGGCGGAAGACUCGCGAUGAGGUUGACGUCGACUAGAAGUAGAGUUGUCCACAUUGUGAGUUUGAACUAGAACGCGGGGAAAAGUCGCCGCGAAAGCUGAAAACCUUAUCCCGGGAACCCUAACUCGCCCCGCUGUAGAUACCUCUGGUAUUGAUCCGCGCGAUCCACCCGUACAAUGUCGACAGCUUUGCGUACCUGUUGCAUUCCGGGAUGCAAAUCCAUGGGUUUGAAAGAUGGCGAGAAGCUGUGCGCGUUCCCUCAAGCUCUGGAUAGAAGACAGACGUGGAUCGAGUACAUACGGCAGAGUGGUUGUGUCGCUUCCAAUUGGGAACCUGCCGCGGCGAGCUACGUCUGUCAGAUCCAUUUCGAAGACUCGUGUUUCAUACAAGAGUCUGAGACAGCGCCCCCGAAAAUGGCCAGGGGGGCGAACCCUACAAUUUUCCCGGAGAAAGACUCGGCGCCAAAACCAUGAAAAUACUCCUUUCAGCCCAAUGUGUCCAUCAUCCGAACUCGGAGUGCGGCCGGAAUCCUUCCGAAGCCCAAAAUUGCUUUCGACGCCGGUUUCGACGUGAGAACGCGACGUGAAAGUCCCCAGUCGGGUCACACUUUCAAGCCGGUCAUAACUCGAGCAACUGGCGAAGUUCGUCCAAGCAUAGGUGAGCCUCGUAUGCAUCUAAUUCCUCCGAAAACAACCUCGGUUGUUGUGAUCGCCACCGAUCAGCCGAAGCUCGCGAUGAAGAGGAUGCUGCCGAAUGUCAGCAUCGCUCCUCCGAAGAAAAUCAACAUGACUUCGUGCGGAAAUUGUCUACAAAUGCAAGAGAAACUCAAUCAGAAGUCCACAGUCAUUCGUGAUCUCGAAGUGAAAAUCGCUGAUCUCAAGCAAGAGCUCAACCAACAAGACAGUACUCGGGCGGCUGCCGCGAGUAAAAUCGAACGCUUGAAAGAGAGUCUCAAGGAGAUAUACACGAAGCACCAGAUGGCUCGAUUGACCGACGGAACAACCAGGGGACGUCCCUGGGACAUGGAGACCGUCCGCCGAGCUGCCAAGCUAGUUCUAGCCUGCGGCAGAAACGGCUAUCAAGAGAUUCUGAAUCAGGGUCAGCCGUUCCCAUCGCUCAAAACACUGAACCGGCUCCUGUACAAACGUCGAUAUUUGAGCUCCACCCUCGACAAUCCGGAUCCUCAGAUCGCUUCGGAGCUCCGCGAGGAAAUGUCCGAAACGGAUCCAGAAGACGAGAGCGAAGGCAGUGCGGAGGAAAUAGAGGAGAACAUCGUGGCUGGUGAAGAGGGACGGAUCCUGAAGAAGAGCAGAAAAACAAGGAAGAGCCGGAAUUCCCUUCAGAAAUGCAAUGAAGCUUUCCAGGACAUCCAGUCGGCUCAAGCAGUACAUGGCCUCGACGCGUCUGAAGCCGCAGUUCUCGAAGAGGUCGAAGGAAUUACCGAAGGGCAACUCUUGCUGCAACACAUCGAUCCUCUCGGCGACAUCGUCGAAGCCGAUGCUCAGGCUCUGGCGUCUCAAUAUGGUCAACUAACGGUCAUACAGGAUAGCUCAGGCGCGCCCGCUCUCUCUGGCGAAGUAAUCGAAGACAUUCUGAGGGCUCAAAAUCUCACGGCAGCGGAAGUGAAGGAGAUCCGAGUAGAAGGCUCUUACAUCACAAUUGUGAAACACCAAGAGAACCCGCUGCAGGAAGACGACGGUCUCAUGUCCCAGGACAUCAUCAGUUGA